rnacentral:lncRNA from 1 species
GUGAGUGUGUCUAAGGGAUGUUUGUAUAGUGACUGUUCAUGAGGAUUUUCAAGUACAAAAUACGAAAUGUCAGAUGAAUAUUAUCAUGGACGCCGAGACGUCGCCGAAAUUCGACGCUACUGGACUGGCGUCUCCAUCUACUAGUCAAGAACCUCAACUGAUUUUGAUCUUAAGUUGAUCUCUUCACUGAAUCUGAGCAGGAAACCGCUUCCUGCAAAUUAUGAGAACUCGUUUUCAGGCUGAAAUAUAUGAAAUAAUGCCACCAGAAUACCAGAUUACAUGUUUAUACUCGAAGCUUUACAAUCGAAUGCAAAACCCCAUCUUUAAUAUAAAUUUAGAGUUUUGGAGUAUUAUAUAAUUAUAUCAUAUUGAGAAGAAGAGAGAUUUGUAGACAGUCGUAAGAAUGACCUGUGAUCUCGAAGUUAGUCUUAUAACAUCUAACACGGGCAAUACGCCACAGUCACCAAGAAUAUUAUCGUCAUUAUCAUCAUUCUGGCUGCUUUACAAAACUAUGUGAGCCCUAGUUUUUUCCUUUAGUCAUUUCAACCUUUAAGCCUUUAUAUAGUCAGACGACUAUUAUUUUCUCCAUUUAUCUGAUUGUUAUCUCCGUUGUUAAAUAAUCAUCUUAACACUUAUAUUGUGAACAUAUUGUGAACUAUAAAGGUACUCUACUCUCGAGCGAAAUUUAUAUUUUUUGACAUACUUCGAAUAAAAUUGAU